rnacentral:sRNA from 1 species
UAUAAAAGUGUCAUCAAUGAAUCGAAAGCUAAGGGAUUUAUACCCUAUGCUGAAUGGACAUUUGAUGACUUGAUCUGUACGAGCAAGUAAGGCAUUUGCCUGGAUUGCGAAUACGAUCGGUGAUGUCGAAAGUGCACAGCACGAAGACAUCGACUUUUAUA